GGAGGGGGCGAGCGUUAUUCGGAAUUAUUGGGCGUAAAGGGCAGGUAGGCGGCUUUGUGUGUCCUCUGUGAAAGCCCUCGGCUCAACCGAGGAAUUGCAGGGGAAACUGCAGAGCUUGAGUCCGGGAGAGGCUAGUGGAAUUCCCAGUGUAGCGGUGAAAUGCGUAGAUAUUGGGAGGAACACCAGUGGCGAAGGCGGCUAGCUGGACCGGUACUGACGCUGAUCUGCGAAAGCUAGGGGAGCAAACGGGGGAUUAGAUACCCCGGUAGUCCUGGCUGUAAACGCUGAGCACUUGGUGUGGCGGGUAUGACCCCUGCCGUGCCGGAGCUAACGCAUUAAGUGCUCCGCCUGGGAGUACGGUCGCAAGGCUG
rnacentral:rRNA from 1 species